rnacentral:lncRNA from 1 species
ACUCGAUCGUGUGCAUGUCGAGUAACGCUUGUUCCUCUGCUUCGCUCUACAUGUCUCCUAAGUACCUGAAACACUCCAAAUAUGCACAAUGUAUGCAAGAUAUGCAUGAUAUGUAUAAAACCUACCUAAGUAUGUAAAACAUGCAGAAAGAGAUCAAUAUGAUGCGAAUCAACAAGUGAAUGAUGCUGAAGAGAUGAUGAAUGCAUGCUCAAAAAGCAAUGAAAUACAGACUUAUCAAGGUACCAAGCGAUCAAUACACUACAUAAGUGGAUCAUGCUGCAAGACAAGGCAAUAAAAUCUAUGAAGUCGCAGAUGAAGAGCUUCAUGACUAAGUUUAGCUGCGCCUCCACCACCACAGCAUUGGCAGACACUACUACGCAGGAUGCUAGGCCAGUUCAGCGCCGUUUGUCCACGAGUGAUGUCCAAGCACGCUACAAAACUCCUUCUCCAUCACGUCAUUCCGCCUAUAAGUAUAGAGAGCAGGAUGUUUCUUCUUCUCCUCUGAGACAGUCCUCCCCUGAGCUUAGGGCUAGCAAAAAGAAGGAAAAAAGUAAAAAGAAGAAGGCAGCGAGACAGAAGACAAAAGCCAAUUCAUCACACUUGCCAAACGAGCAUCAUGUUGAGGAUCUGACAAUGGAUCAAGCCGAGGAUCACAUUGAGGACCUGACUAAUGAUCCAGGUGCGUAUCAUUUCCAAGACCUCACUAAGGAUCCGGUCGAGCAGACCGUUGAGCAACCAGCAGAGGCUCCUCCUGUGCAGCCUGCACCAGGUGCUUAUACAAGCGAGUCCAUGACUCAAUACCUGGACUGCUAUUUUCAGUAAGGCACCACUCCAAACCUUCAUCUGUAUAUACCAUUGCAUUUUCAUACUUUUGUUUGUUUGAUUCUCAAACCAACUCUCAAAUUUUUAUUACACAAGGGACUGUGUAAUUUAAGUUUGGGGAUGGUUUGGGAUGACAUUUGACAUUGUGUUCUCUUUUCUUAUUUCGAAUUUUUACCAUAUAUUUUGCAUUCAUAUAUGUGCAUUGAAAACCCCAAAAAAAAUUUGAAAAUUUUUCAGAAAAGUCUUUAAAAACAGAGUGAUCAUGUAGCUUGCAUUUGCAUAUUAGAAUUGAGUCUAGAUUGUUUCAUGUAGGACUGUUGCAUUAGCAUAGGGGGCGAUGAUGAUUUACACCUUGUUAACUAGUUGAGAUCAAUGCCCUGAAACAAACUUGGAAUUCAUGAAGAGCAUUCUUGAACUUUGUUGAAACAUAUUGUGAUAUGAUCUCAUUCCUUUCCUUAUAAGAAUUUAAUCUUGACUUGCAAAUAUCUGGUUGUGUUUUGCUUGCAUGCUCAUGGUCACCAUAUACAUAUUUGGAUCAUCUUCCUCCUUUGACCACUCUUGUUGAUCCAAGUAGUUGAUCAUUCUUUUGAUCAGUUUGCCAUACCCACAGCCUAUCCUUUUCUUUCAAGCCAAUUGAUAAUUUUUGAGUGGUAGGUCUUUUACCGGAUUAUGCUUGGGGAGAACGUGUUAGGUAUGAGCCGACAGGAUUAAAAUCUUGAGUAGUUCUGAUUUUCAUUUUCAAAUCAGAUAGGACUAGGUCUGGAUUCUUACUUGGGUUUGAGAUUGGUCCUCACCUUUAGCAUUCUCCCUAAAGCUCAAUCCAUUCAUUGAGAGAUCCUUGUCCAGAAAUUGUUUAAACCCUCUUGAUUCUCAAAACCUUUUUCUGCCUAGCCAAGUGAGUUUGUUAAGCCUUACACAACCAGAUUCAUAUUCUUGAGUAAUGAAUGUUAAAAGGAAUGAAUGAUUUGAAGGCAUGUGUAGAUCAAGGGAUAGAAUCAAUUUAAGAUUUGAUGAGUUUGUCUAAAUUCUUUAAGUAAAGUUCUCUCAGCAUGCAUCAAAGACUUAGCAACCAGGACAUUGAUUUUAAUUGCUAUAUCUUGCAAAGUACAUGUUCUGAGACCCCAUUUUCAAACCUCUCUUCCACUUUGUUUCGUUUUGCUUUGUUUGAGGGCAAGCAAAGACUAAGUUUGGGGGAGUUGAUAAGUCUGUAUUUCAUCACUUUUUGAGCAUGUAUUCAUCAUUCUUUCAGUAUCAUUCACUUGUUGAUUCGCUUCAUAUUGAUCCCUUUCUGCAUGUUUUACAUACUUAGGUAGGUUUUAUGCAUAUCAUGCAUGUCUUGCAUACAUUCUGCAUAUUUGGAGUGUUUCAGGUACUUAGGAGACAUGCAGAGCAAAGCAGAGGAACAAGCGUUACUCGACAUGCACAUGAUCGAGUGGAACGAUCGAGUGAGAAGCAGAGAUGCGUAGCAGAAACAUACUUCACUCAGCGGACGUGAUCGAGAAGGUUGAUAGAGUAGUCGAUCAAGUGGUGGAGCGAGUAGGUGGAUCGAGUAAACAAAAGGAAUGCGAAACAGGAUCGACCGUCACUCGACCUACACACUCGAGUGACAUGAUCGAACAAAUCAGAGAAGAUGCUCACUCGAGUUGCUCACUCGAGACACUCACUCGAGAUACUCACUCGAGAUAUUCACUCGACCGACAUAGUCACGACAACUCUUAAACCGCGUUUUACAUUGUCGUUUUAUGUUUUAAGGUUUUCCCAAACAUUGUUAUAAAUAGGUCUCAUUUGGAUUGCCCAGGGGAUCGAUUAAUUUUUAUUAGGUUUUUGUUGUUAGCCACCAAACAAUCCUGAGAACUGUAAUCGUGACUUCUUUUGAGUUAUUGAUAUUUGGCAAAUAGUUGUUGAAUCAUUGUUGUUACUCUUCCUGUCAUCUUUAUUAUUAUGCAUGUUUUAAAUGAUUCUUGUUUCAUGAUGUUUAUCAUGAUUUCUGCGUCUGAGUAGUGUUAGGGUUCUUGAGGAUGGGAUAUAUUAGGUGGAGGAUGUUAGUUUGCUAGAGUGUUUAUGUUAGAUUCGUUUUGUUUUCCUUCUGGAUUAGAGUUUUAUUAGCUAGUUCUCUGAUCAACUAGAACUGGGUCAUAGACAUUUCAUGCCCGAAAGGUAUAUGAUGAAAUGUCAGAACCAACUAGUGCCAGAGAUUUACAUGCUUAGCCCAUGAGAUUGGUUGUCUAAGAUGUUUGUUGACAUUAAUGAGUCUUUAUGUCUGUUUACUACAUGUUUCAUCAAUGAAAAUUGAGAUUAGGAAGUGUUGUAAACUUGAUAGUUUCUGCCAAGAGAUUGGAUUGACUAGUAUUAGAAGUUCAUUGUCUAGGGAUUAGAAUGUUUGCAGUUUGAUAAACACUCGAAGUAGAUUAGCAUACUCUACCUACAUCAAUAACCUCAUCCUAAGGAUCUUCUAUCCAUUUGUGCUUUCUAUUUAAUUCUCUUGUUAUUUACUUGUUUUACUUUGUUUUCUUGCCAGUAUCAAUAAUCGUUAAGUUUUAGCUUAUGCAUGGUAGUUUAUGUUUUACAGCCUUAUAUUUAUCGCAUGUUUAACAUGUUCGCUUAGGAUCACUGAAAACCAAAAAUCAUUUAUGCUUGCUUGACUUAAUCAUUUCUGAUAUAUCUUGAUUGCUAGAAUCACACCUGAUUGGAUUGAUACUUAUUGUACUGUAAUGACAUGAUUUUGAUAUGCUUGCUUGCUUUACUCUAGGGUAAUUGAUAGAAAAUUCCUAGUAUCAUUUACCCGAUUUUGAUAUGCGUCUAUUCAACGAAUGAUCCCGAACGGGACAAAAUGAAUUAAGCUACAAAUUAAGUUUUUCUACAAUCUUGGUCCAUGAGAGAAGCCCAACUUAGUGGAUUGAACCCAAAAAUAAUGAAGGAAGAUCAAUUUUCGUCUAUAGAAAACAACAUUUAAUUCUUUCGAUCUUCCUAUAUGCUAUGCAUGUUGAGCUAUUAUUAUGGACGUUUUAUGUAUAUUCUCUCUAUAUUAUGGACGUUUUAUGUAUAUUCUCUUGAUUUCGGCUUAGUGUGUCAUAUCUAAAGGAUUCAAGAUUGGUAAAUCAAGAGUCUUCCGUAGCUCUUGGUCGACCAUUCGCUCCACCAUCCUUGUUCUUCGUGACUGCAUCGUCCGUUAAACUUAAGGAAUAUCUUUUCACCACCUUAGAGUGUCGAGUACUUGUGAUGAUCUCAUCAUUGAUCAUCUAGAAUUCAAAUCUUUAGAUAAUUGAUUUGACACAAAAGUGUGACUUUUUUUUUUUGAUCAAACACUUAUAUUAAAACUUAAACAAAAUGUUAACCUCCACCAUGGGAGGACAGAGUUACAAACAAGGAAACAAGGAGAGCAGAAAUAGCAUAAGCAUUAGCUACACCAUUGUUUACACAAGAGAUAACAGAAAAGCAGAUAGAGGAGAAGGAUUCUUUCAGACAAGAGAUGACAUGAAUGAUUCCUAUUAGCUCCUUGAGGCUUCCUUGAGAGUUGAGAAGCUUGAAAAGGACUUGAAAGUCCGAACAGAUCAAGAACGAUCGGUUUUGAAAGAGAUGAGCGACCGAGGUGAUGUAAGACAGUGCACUACGGAUCGCUAACGCCUCUGCAACAAGUGCAGCCGGCACAAAGGGGCUCGAAGACGACGCCUGAGAGAUAGUCACACCAAGUGAAUCUUUAAAAAUCCAGCCUGAACCACUCCUUCCUGUACUUGAACACCAAGCAGCAUCUACAAAACAAGUGUAGGUUUCUAGAGGAACAAAGUAAAUCAGAAGGGUAGGACAGCUUAAACUUGGAGUGGGGAUGGCAAGUUGGGCUUCUUGCCAAUGUCUUGCUUCCGUGAUAGCUUUAAGGAGGACAUAGGCAGAGAAGAAGCGGUCCUCAAAGAGGAAACAGGUUCUGGCCGUCCAUAGGUUCCAUAAGAAUCGGUUGUCUAAAGAUGAAACUCUUUGUCCAAGCAUCCAUAUGACCAUAUUUAGCAUAACCAAAGUUAUACAGAGAUUGCAAAAUGCAGUAACUGAUCCGCAUACUGCGGUAAAGGAUCGCAUCAAAGCGAUAAAAGUGCUACAAGAUGGCACAAAAGUAAACUCCAGGGCAUCAAAAUCCAUUAAAUACCAAAGAGCUACACUUGAAUCCCACAAGACCAGAGCCACAAGCUCAACCAACAACCUAAAUCUUCUAAUCUUUGAAGAAUCAUAGGGCUGAGAGCAAGAGCAAACCUGGGGGGACCUCUGAGGAGGUGAGUUGAGGGUGAAUGCGAGAUGAAGAAGACGUCGCACAACGGGGGGAGAGGGAAACAGGCCAGCAAAGCUACAAUAAAACCCAUCGUCACAAAGGGAGAGAGGCUUUAGGAGGCUGGAGGAGAGGUAGGAGACACAAGCUGGUAGAGAAUUGAAGACAUGCCCGCCAAACAGAGACACUGCAAAAGCCACCAUCUCAACAGCAGAGAGGUUGAUUGGAUCUAACAACACCACCAAGAAGAAGCGGAGACUAGAACAAGAUCUGCAUACUGCAGUAAUAGAUAGCCUUAAGGCAGAGGAGUCGUCACCAAGGGUCACCACAAAAACAAACAAUGAAAUUCGUGGAGAAUCCAACAGAGGAGCUCCAGCGAAGGCAACUGUAACUACCAUGGGGAAGAGACGAAACACCAACAAGCUUCUAGAUCUGAAAAAACACUGGACCGAGGAGACACUAUAGUGGAGACGAGCUUUAGCGAGACCGGUGAAAAAGAAGAGAGCAGCAACUAAAAGUUGGUUUUCGCCGGCCUUGUCUCACGGCCAAAAGGCCGGAGAAAGACACGACGAGGAGCUGGUAGACACGCAGAGGAUGAGGACAACGAACAACAAGUGAGAAAUCAAAGGCCGGCCACAGGAAAACAGAUCGGAAGAGAUGAGCGGCGGUUUUGGGAAGUGUGCCUGGGAUUAAGGAGGCUAGGGCG